rnacentral:rRNA from 1 species
UACGUAGGGUGCGAGCGUUGUCCGGAAUUAUUGGGCGUAAAGAGCUUGUAGGCGGUCUGUCGCGUCUGCUGUGAAAAUCCGGGGCUCAACCCCGGACUUGCAGUGGGUACGGGCAGACUAGAGUGUGGUAGGGGAGGACUGGAAUUCCUGGUGUAGCGGUGAAAUGCGCAGAUAUCAGGAGGAACACCGAUGGCGAAGGCAGGUCUCUGGGCCACUACUGACGCUGAGAAGCGGAAAGCAUGGGGAGCGAACAGG